rnacentral:rRNA from 1 species
UACAGAGGUCUCAACCGUUGUUCGGAUUCAUUGGGCGUAAAGGGUGCGUAGGCGGCGGGGCAAGUCAGGUGUGAAAUCUCGGGGCUCAACCCCGAAACUGCAUUCGAUACUGCCGUGCUUGAGGACUGGAGAGGAGACUGGAAUUUACGGUGUAGCUGGUGAAAUGCGUAGAUAUCGUAAGGAAGACCAGUGGCGAAGGCGGGUCUCUGGACAGUUCCUGACGCUGAGGCACGAAGGUCAGGGGAGCAAACGGG